rnacentral:rRNA from 1 species
AUACGUAGGGGGCGAGCGAUAUCCGGAAUUAUUGGGCGUAAAGAGUACGUAGGUGGUUUCCUAAGCGAGGGGUUUAAGGCACUGGCUUAACCAAUGUUCGCCCCCCGAACUGGGGAACUUGAGUGCUGGAGAGGAAAGCGGAAUUCCUAGUGUAGCGGUGAACUGCGUAGAUAUUAGGAGGAACACCAGUGGCGAAGGCGGCUUUCUGGACAGAAACUGACACUGAGGUACGAAAGUGUGGGGAGCAAACAGCAUUAGAUACCCUGGUAGUUCACACCGUAAACGAUGAGCACUAGGUGUCGGGCUCGCAAGAGUUCGGUGCCGGAGUUAACGCCUUAAGUGCUCCGCGUGGGGGGUACGUACGCAAGCAUGAAACUCAAAUGAAUUGCCGGUG